rnacentral:rRNA from 1 species
GGAGUCUGGGCCGUGUCUCAGUCCCAAUGUGGCCGAUCACCCUCUUAGGUCGGCUACCGAUCGUCGACUAGGUGGGCCGUUACCUCACCUACUAUCUAAUCGGACGCGAGCUCACCCCAUACCGGAUUGCUCCUCGUUAGAUGCCUGCAAAGGAGAACAUAGAGUAUUAAUCCGACUUUCGCCGGGCUAUCCUCUAGUAAGGGGAAGGUUGGAUACGCGUUACUCACCCGUGCGCCGGUCGCCGCCAAGGUAUUGCUACCUCGCGCUGCCCCUCGACUUGCAUGUGUUAAGCCUGCCGCUAGCGUUCAUC